GGUAGACAGGAAGCUGGAAUUAGGAUGCAGGUAUCCAGACCCAAGACCUAUAAUCACAAUUACAGCAGACUACCUGUGGCCAGAAGGCUGUGAAUCCUGAGCUACUAUCAGAAGAUAUUUUGUCUACCCUGAGUUCAGGAUGAAGUCAUCCACAUGUGGUAUCCACAUGGACAUAAGGCAGAGCUUCUCGGAGAAUCUCUCAGGAGAGCAUCAUCAGGACACUUUGACCAGAGCUCUGAGGAUUCCAUCCCAGCAAAGAACAGUCAGGGAAAGACAGGAGUGACCAAGUCAGCCAUCGCCGUCUUCCCUGGCUCA
rnacentral:lncRNA from 1 species